CUAAAAUCUACAACAAAAUCAAAAACCAAAACUCAAAAACUAAAAUCUAAAAACCAAAAACCAAAAUUCAAAAACCAAAAACUAAAAUCUAAAAACUGGAAAAACAAUCAUCACCAUAGUGAAUUAAAAACUAAAUCGUGGUCGGUGUGUUGGCGUUCAUUGAAAAAGUGACCAAUACAUCCAGCACCCACGCAGAUAUAAUAAUCAGUUUUAAAACAAAAUUAACUUGCAAAUGUUUUCCUUCAAUAACAGAGACACAUGUUAUGAAGAAUAAAAUAGAUUAACUCAUUGGAUGAUCCGAAGCAGUGGCAGAGGUAGAGAGGUGGUAAGGGGGGCAGCUGCCCCACAUGAAUUAUUGGAAAAAAUUUAGUUUCAUUGAUUUUUUGAAAAUUUUACAAUAAGUGUUAAAAUCCCUUCUAAUGCCUCUCAUGAUUUUAAGCUCAAACAUUAUAUUUCCCCUGGUGAAUCUUCCGGCUGGCUCCGCCACUGAUCCGAAGGCCCUUUCUCAAAAAGAAAAGAAAAAAUUGAUUGGAUGAUCUGUAUACAACACCAACAAUAAGGAAAGUAAGUUUUUGAAGUUAAGAUUAACAAAUUAAAGGUAUAAAAAGAUUUAAAGAACAAUAUUCGAUAUCUAUAUUAUAGUUUGUUCCAUGCAGGAACAUCUAUCCAUGUCACAACAGAUUUUGUAACCAAAUGAGGCUAAUAGAUUACUAAUAUGCUGUAAACAAAAUAUGAUAUCAAAAACAAGAGGAUACGAAAAAUAGUUGUGGCUAACAAAGAAAGCUGAUAAGUAUAAAAAAUGACAGAAAGAAGAGUUCAUUUAAUUCCAAAUGAUGAUGUAAACUAAGCUAAAUAAAGAAUGAAGUCCAGAUUUUUUAAUUAAUCUUAUAUGUAAUUACCAUUAAUACUUUCCAAUUAAAAAAAAUAGGCUAUUACACUUUCAAAUUAUCAUGCAUAUGUUUAAACUUAGAUUUUCAUGCAUAUAUUUAAAUUUAAAGUGUCAUGCAUAUAUUUAAACUCAAACUUAUUUUAUAAUAACCUCAAAAUCAACUAUGCAGAGCUAUUUGAUUGUAGAUCUCUAUUUCAUUGAUACACAUUUUAUUUUUUAAAUAAUAUUGAAGAUGUUCUGAAUUAUAAACCAUAACAAAACCAUAUUUAGACUUCAAAAAAAGAAAAACAAAUAUUUAAAUUUUAAUUUAAUAAAAAUUUAUAUUAAAUAUUUACUCUAACUAUUUCAACUAUUUUCGAAAUAACAUCCCGCCCGUAGGGCGGGCCGACCCUAUUAUAUAUUAUUAUAAAGAAGAGUUUCUUUCUCUCCUGUUGCGCCACGUCAGAUUCCACAUAGGUAAUUCAAUUUAUGUGUUUGCGACACGUGUCGCCUGACUUUUAUUUUUUCGGAUUGUGAUUUCUAUUGGGUUCAGAGGGGAAAAGUUUUGGCCCGUUAAAAGCUGGCCCUUUGGUCCUUCUAUCUUCUUCACGAUUUGUCGUGUCCGUCUCUUAGGGUUAUGUCGUAUCCUCGAAGCUUUAAUAAGUUCCAGUAACAAUGGUAUUUCUGAAUGUCGAGUGAGACGAGUCAUUGUGAAGAAGCUCUGUGUCAAGCUUCGAUUCGUCGUUUCGUCUUUGGUUCUUAUUCUCCGAGACGUUACGAGAUUUCUUGAUUCAUCGCCUUUAAGAAACUUCUUAACUCCCUCAAGCACGAUGUCUCAUCAAAUGCUCUCUUAGAGGCGGUGUAUCUCCACCUACAAAAUGGUCAGCCUUCGUACCCUGAACAUCAUCGUCACACUUCCUAACAGUAGAAACUUCUUUAUGGCAAGGAGACUCCAACUUCGUUGACUCAUACAACUUCCAAUUCAAAGAGAGAUUGUUGGACCCAAGAGAAGCAAGCAGGAUCAAGCUGGAAGAAAUAAAAACUUAAUGGAGACGUGUAUAUGAGAUAUCACGGUGUUGAAGGUGAUUCUUAGAUGCAUCAACGUGGUUAGCUCCUACACGAUUGGGAGAUUAAUCCAAGUUCAUAUUGAUACAGUAUGUUGUUAUACGCUGGUAAAGGACAUCUGAAGUACUUCUACAAUCCUAUGUAUACACAUAAAAAGUUGUGGCUCUUCCCUGAGAUCCAUGCAACAGACCGACUGCUGCAGAGGCUCUGUACAUCCCGUUCUUUCAGUGGAUUUAUACAGAUUCAACCCCAAGUGUGGCCCGAGAUAUUCCCCCUGAAACGAGGAUACUAAUGGGAUAUGGUGUUGUAGUCGGAUUUUCGGAAUACUUUAAGUUGAGUAGCGGUAUGAACUAGAGCAGAGUGAUUUGUGACCACUACAUCUUUCUUAUACAUCUGGAAGGAGUGAGGCCAGAAUGAAAAUGAAAAGACAUGCGAGUGCAUAUCAAAGCAUCAUCUUUCAGAAACAAAAGUUACCCCUCACGAAUCCCAUCAUGCGUCUCAUGCCUCCACUUGAACAAAUAUUUUUUGUACUUUGUCUUUUCCUAAAGAGCGAUGGAAAACUCGAGAGGGAGAGAGAGAGAGAGAGAGAGAAAAUAUAUAUAUAACAUAUUGAAAUGUAUAAUCCAAGCUAUCAUAAAUAAUAUAUAUAAAAACUGAAAUGUAUAAUCCGGCUUCAGCUCACGACGGCGCGACACAUGUCCUUUCACACAAUCCGCAGCGUUUCAUUAACGUAAUUAUUCAAUAGAUGUGAGCUUUGUUUUGUGUUUGAGCUUUAUGUUUUGCCGAAGGAACCAGCCUAAUACAGAGUGCAAACGUAAGCGUCUCAGACUUAAUGGUAGGGUUCUUCCAAUUUUUGUUCUCCACCGUUCCAGAGCGUAUAUUGCUUGGCAAACAAGUUAUUAAUCAAACAUAUAUUCUCUAUAUUAUAUUAUCUUUUUUUAUGCCUCAUAAUAAAUUUAUAGUAAAUUUAAAAUUAAAAUAAUGUAUUACUCGGUAUAGCAAAUGAAAACAAUAUAUGAGGUAAUAGAAUAAGUAAAAUAGCCACUAAUUAUACACUGAAACCGAAUAAUAAAUUUUUAUUAAAAAUACAAAUACAUUCAAUAUAUACAAAAUGUAAAAUCAUCGAUGUCCUGAGCACUAAACCUAACCACAACAAUAGAAACUUGGAUAUACUUACUAUAUAUAUAAAAAUUGAGCAAACAUUUAACAAUGUAUACCAUUUCAAUCAUGCGUAUCAUACUCAUACACACUUAUAAUCUCUAACAGUAAUAAUAAAAAUAAACAAUUCAAGUUAGACAAAUGUAAAGAUGAUAUAAAAUAUGUUCUCAUUAUAAAACAUAACAAAUAGACAGAAGAUAAUAAAUAAACUAAUAUAAUGUCAAAAAUAUAUAUUUGAAAACAAAUAAAAAUACAAAAACAAAUGACAAAAAUAAGCAAACAUCAAACGUUAAGUAAAAAUGGAUAUAAUGUCCUUCAUCAUUUAAAUUUUCCUACUAAACAAUAAACAUUAUUAUACACAUUUCCUGCAAAUGCAAACCUAAAACA